UACACACAACAUUGUCCGCCAGACAACUACAAGCGAAAAACUCAAAACUCCAAGGACUUGGCGGUGCUCCACACCAGCCUAGAGGAGCCUGUCCUAUAAUCGAUACCCCACGUUAAACCUUGCCGCCCCUGGCCACUCAGCCUAUAUACCGCCGUCGCCAGCACACCUUAUGAGAGAAGUAGCAGUGUGCACAACAGUUACCAACUAGUACGUCAGGUCAAGGUGUACCAUAUGAGGCGGAAGAGAUGGGCUACAUUUUCUACUACAGAAUAAACGAAAGGGGCAAUGAAAUGUGUCCCCGAAGGUGGAUUUAGCAGUAAGACAGCCAAGAAACGCUAUCUUAAAACCGCUCUGGAGCGCGC
rnacentral:rRNA from 1 species